rnacentral:rRNA from 1 species
GAUGAACGCUAGCUACAGGCUUAACACAUGCAAGUCGAGGGGCAGCAUGAACUUAGCUUGCUAAGUUUGAUGGCGACCGGCGCACGGGUGCGUAACAGGUGUGCAAUCUGUCCAUAGUCGGGGAAUAGCCCAGCGAAAGUUGGAUUAAAGCUCCAUGUGAGCGAGUGCCGCAUGACACACGCUUGAAACGAAAGGACUAUGGGUGAGCACGCUUCUGAUUAGGUAGUUGGUGAGGUAACGGCUCACCAAGCCGACGAUCAGUAGGGGUUCUGAGAGGAAGGUCCCCCACAUUGGAACUGAGACACGGUCCAAACUCC